GACAGUGUCAGGCGGGGAGUUUGACUGGGGCGGUACAUCUGUUAAAUAAUAACGCAGGUGUCCUAAGGUUAGCUCAGUGAGGACAGAAACCUCACGUAGAGUAAAAGGGCAAAAGCUAACUUGAUCUAUGACCUUCAGUACUGGUAUAGACCGCGAAAGCGUGGCCUAUCGAUCCUUUUGUUGUUCUUAAACGGUUGACAGUUUCAAGCAAGAGGUGUCAGAAAAGUUACCACAGGGAUAACUGGUAGCGCUAAGGCUUAAUGUGGUUGUCGCAAGGCAAUCAAUUAAACAGCAUUAAGCGGUGCAGCGUUACAAACUCUGGUGUUUAGUAGUGUCAAUGUAGUGUAUGGUUGGGCAACUAACUAUAUGCUGCUUUUGGCCUAGCGUACAAGUCCCAUUGACUUGGGCCUAUUCUUGAGAUGUCUACGGGUUUGGGGCAACUUGGAUCCGUGGAUGAGCCAUAGAGGGUGAAAGUCCCUUAAUGCGCAGGUAUUGAUGCUACGAAUCAGAGCAGUGGCGUCUGGUAAAACAGGCGUUGCGGUUUGUUAGAGUCGGGUUGCUUGAGAGUGCAACCUAAAGAGCGAGGUAAACUGCUCGUAAGGCUAUGUAAAUACGGCUACGACACCGAUAGCAAACAAGUACCGUGAGGGAAAGUUGCAAAGUACUUUGAAGAGAGAGUUAAACAGGGCGUGAAACCGCUAGCUGGUAAAACCCGUCUUGAAACACGGACCAAGGAGUGUAGGAGGGUUGUGUUGGUAGCGUUGAAGGCUAUGAGGGAGUGAUCCUGGCUGGAGCUGCCAAUAGUACAGAUCUUGGUGGUAGUAGCAAAUACUCAAGUGAGACCCUUGAGGGCCAAUGUGGAGAAGGGUUCCAUGCUAACAGCAAUUGGACAUGGGUCAGUCGGUGAAUUAGGUUAAUAUUCCUAAACCAAGAUGGGGAGAUGGCACGGACCACGGGAAUCCGACUGUCUAAUUAAAACAAAGCAUUGCGAUGGCCUAAGAUUGUGGUGUUGACGCAAUGUGAUUUCUGCCCAGUGCUAUGAAUGUCACAGUGAAGAAAUUCAUCUAAGCGCUAGUAAACGGCGGGAGUAACUAUGACUCUCUUGUGGUAGCCAAAUGCCUCGUCAUCUAAUUAGUGACGCGCAUGAAUGGAUUAACGAGAUUCCCACUGUCCCUAUCUACUACCUAGCGAAACCACAGCCAAGGGAACGGGCUUGGCAAAAUCAGCGGGGAAAGAAGACCCUGUUGAGCUUGACUCUAGUCUGGCUUUACGCGGAGUAUGCAUUCGUGGCGCAAGUUACGGGUGUAUGCGUUGCGAGUGGAGCCACGAAGUCGUUUCGUAGAAUACGAGGCGCAAAUUCAGCUAAGAUCUACCAAGGUUUUGGCGUAUUUUUGCUUGUCUCGCUACUGUAAGCGUACACUGCAACCAAUUAGACGGUCAAUCGUGGAAAUAGUUUGCAAGUUGGCAGGGAAACUUGUUGCUUGUAAGCGAAAAAAUUUGUGUAUCUGCCGUAGGUAGCCCGGUUAGAAUCUUGUAUUUUAUCUGGGUGUAUGACGUUGUAGAUACGUGAACUACGAUUGAGUACUGAUUGGCAAAAUGAAAAUCGAAUCGCAAGAUUCGUGCAUUCAUAGAAAGCGGCUAGCAUCGUAAUCGUGUACAAUUAUGCGCCGCUAGUAUAAGCUUGGUAUUUUUGAAUUCAGGCACGUAUAUUGUUAGUGGGCUUGCCUGUUGACAUAUGCGCUGUUUUCCUGUCUAAUCGGGUAUUAACUUUGCUGGCGGUUUGGUAUGAUUGCUACGUUAGCAUCGAAUGCGAUGGCAAGUUAGCAAGUAUUGGCAGUGAGUAGGUCGGCUUUCCACACGCGUUGAAUCAUCGUUCGUGUAACAAGCGAUUAGUUAUGAUUCAACGCCUAAGAGAAUGGCGAAAGCUAUUUCUGAAUCAAAGGCAGUGUAAGCAAAACACACAACAAAAACCAUUUGUGUUCGUGAACUUUUUUGUCAAGCUUGUAACCGAGUAAUAAAAGCACCAUAUCUUAUAAUAUUUAGCUAUAUUAUAGUAAAAGAGAGGUGCGAAAUAAGCUUAGAUAUUAGCAAUAAAAACGGCAUAUAAAACGCGCACGACUUUAAAUGAGUGUAAACGAUCACUGUAUGACUCGAAAGGUGCUAACUGUGCGGUUAUUUAUUUAACUGUGCAAUUAGCAUUGGCGGUAACGCAAACAAGGCUCUGAGGAUCGAGUUGGUCGGGCUGUAUGCGAGAUACUUUCAUGAGUUUGUAUCUAUGCUGGACCUUUGUUGCGUGCGAGCAUUUCGGUGUUUGCACCGACUUUGGAUCGGCAUGGAUCGCUCGUUUGUUGAUUGCUACAGCUACGUUGGUGGUGUUUGGAUAUGGGCAACUAUGUUCAGGUACUAUCGUUAAAAAGCGUCAUCGGCUAACAACUAACGAUCGAAUCAGAACUCAAGCUCUCGCAGAAAUGUGAAUCAGUUUCAUCUGGUAAAGCGAAUGAUUAGAGGCCUUGGGAGCGAAACGCUCUCAACCUAUUCUCAAACUUUAAAUGGGUGAGAUGUACGACGUACUUAACUGACGCCGUAUUUACACAGAAUGUAUUGAGAGCUUAGUGGGCCAUUUUUGGUAAGCAGAACUGGCGAUGCGGGAUGAACCGAAAGUGAAGUUAAGGUUGCCGAUAAUGGUGCUAACAAAUAUGCACUAGCUACACUCAUGAGAUCCCAUGAAAGGUGUAAGUUGCUAAAGACAGCAAGGACGUGGCCAUGGAAGUCGGAAACAUCUAAGGAGUGUGUAACAACUCACUUGCCGAAGCAACUUGCCUGAAAAUGGAAGCAGCUCGAGUGUUGAACCUAUACUUCACUCUAGUUAAGUAUCGAGUCGAUCGGUCUUGAUUAGGCCAGACAUCGGGAGUGCCGCAAGGCAACGUCUCGGAAUAUAAUACAUGACGGCAAAGUGAAAUCAAAUAUAUGUGAUCUGAGGUCUAUAAAAACGGCCUACAGCGCAACAUAUGCCCACUCGUAUGGUUAUACGCGCAAGUGUUAACCGGGUGGAGCAAAGAGAUACUUGACUGGUAUUCUCUCACUUGGCCGUACCCAUAUCCGCAGCAGGUCUCCAAGGUUAACAGCCUCUGGUCACUUAGGAUAAUGUAGGUAAGGGAAGUCGGCAAAACGGAUCCGUAACUUCGGGAUAAGGAUUGUGAAGAGACAUGAGAGGUGUAGCAUAGGUGGGAGAUACGUAUCGGGCAACUGGUGCGUGUCGCAAGUGAAAUACCACUACUUUCAUUGUUUCUUUACUGA
rnacentral:rRNA from 1 species